CACGUAGGCGGCCUGUUAAGUCAGAUGUGAAAGCCCCGGGCUCAACCUGGGAAUUGCAUUUGAUACUGGCGAGCUUGAGUCUGAUAGAGGGGGUGGAAUUCCAGGUGUAGCGGUGAAAUGCGUAGAUAUCUGGAGGAACACCAGUGCGAAGGCGGCCCCUGGAUCAAGACUGACGCUGAGGUGCGAAAGCGUGGGGAGCAAACA
rnacentral:rRNA from 1 species